GACCGCUUUCUAUCAAUGUCAAUAUAUUUGAAUUUUUAGUUUUAAUUCAAAUAUUUUCUUGUUUUACAAGUGUCACUUCAGCAUCAACUAGCAAAACUAGAAAAUAAUUCAAUUAAAACUAAAAAUUCAAAUAUUUUCACGACAAUUGACAUCGAUAGAAAGCGCAGUGUAGAUAUCUACAUUGCACGGAAUCUAGCCCCAGGACGUAGAUGAUGAAUAUUAAACAGAAAUGAAACUGGAUUCUGGUGUAACAAACUUGCAGAUUUCAAGUAGCAGUGCAAUCAGUACCUAUUUCAGGUGUUAUUGAAGAGUUCUGGUAUUCGGUGGUCGGUGAGCCUGUUAGAAGCUAACGAUGGAAAACUAAAAUAUCUAAGGCCCGGUCUUUUCACCUCCGAAUAAAAGUUAUUCGGAGGUUAUUUGACAGAUUUACAUGUAAUCUGCUGGUUAAACUUCCUAAUAAAUAUUUAUUCGGAGGUGAAAAGACCGGGCCUAAUUAUAAUAUAUGUAACUUUGCAAAACAACAAAUGUUGUGUUUGCGUGUUUCUAAUGUAAAAUGCGAAAUAAUUGUUUGAAGAAUGUGAUCCAGAUAUGCAGAUGUUAAAAUCAGUGGAUGACAAAAUAUUAUAUAUAAAUAUUAAAUAUGAAACUGAUAAAAAUUAAUUAUAGUUGGUCAUUUUGUUCCCCAGUUAAAAUAUAAAAAAGUUUGGUUUUUGUUUACAAACAGUCAUAUUAAUUUCUAGUUAAACUCCCUCUGUGGCUCAGUAGUAAGAGCGCCUACUUUUGGAUUGAAAGGUCCGAAUGGUCGUGAGUUUGAAUUUCACCAGGGUAGAGAAUUUUUCGUUUAUUAUAAAUUAAUAAAUGAAAAUAGUUUCUAUCCUUGGGGGAUCGGUACCCACCGGAGGGACCGCAGACGUUCGGAUACAAUUAGCGUCUCUGCAAAGACAAUGACAUCGACUUUCCAAAGUAACAAGACACUUACUCAACAGACACACUACACAUAAAGUCUACUUUACACUACAUGAUUUAUCACGUGAUUUAUCAUAUGAUUUUGCCCAUGACGAGCCGCAUGACAAUGCUUAUGAUAAAACACAAUGCUUAUGGCAAAAUCAUAUGACAAAUCACACAGUGUAAACAUGUAAAUUUUACUCCAUGACCAAAUCAUAUGACAAAUCACAUGAUAAAUCAUGUAAUGUAAAGUCGACUUAACACUAGCUACCUAAUUGGUAAAAUCCACUGUACCAUCACCAUGCCAAUGCCCAUUAGUUGUCGAGGCAUUAGCUAAAUAAAAAAAAUUUCUAGUUAGUCAGCUGUUAUUUUUAUUAUAAAAAGUCAUAAAUUAUAUACAAAUAUAUGUUUAUAAAAUAUGAAAUAAAAUUGUUAAUGAUUUCCUGAUUUCCAUAUUAUUGUUGGAAAGGUGAAGCAUUUCCAAAAAGCUAAUGCUAAACGACUAAAUGCUUGGGUGGGGUGAUAGCCAGUUCUGAUGACAUAGCAAAUGCACAUUGUAUGCGUAUGGCCGGUAAUAGUGAAGUCUGCAGCCAUAUUGCAGCAAUCCUAUUUUUAGCUAAGUAUGCCCAGAGCAAGACAGACGAAGAAGAACCCAAUGCAUGUACAUAUGUUACAGCUACAUGGUUUGGAGAUAGCAACAUAUGCAUUCUCUGAUGAAAAACUAAUGAGUUUUGAAACUGUUCGGUCAGAGUGCUUGUUGCGCUCACUAAACGAACUGAAAUAUAAGAAGUCUUUGGCAUUGUGUUGCAGCGAUAUGAAAAUGGUUAUUCAUUUUUAAUUAUAAUGUACUUCUUCAUCAUGAGUAAUUAUGUAUUGGUCUUUUAGAUGUGUAUUUAUUUUUGUAAUUAGUAUCAACUUGUAAUGAUAAUAUACAUUUAUCGUUUAAGGUACGACUAUGUUUUGACUCUAAAAUAAAUGUUUUAAAAAUCGAA